ensembl:snRNA U6 U6 spliceosomal RNA
GUGUUCGCUUCAGCAGCUCAUAUACUAAAAUUGGAAUAAUAUAAGAGAAGAUUAGCAUGGCCCCUGUACAAGGAUGACAUGCUAAUUCGUGAAGUGUUCCAUAUUUUU